AGCAGUGUGGUGUAUUGUGCACACGGGGUAUUCAUUCUGCACGUUGUAUGACGUGUUCACCCCGAGGUCCUUGUUCAAAUCAAGGUGCUGCUC